rnacentral:lncRNA from 1 species
UCUCGGAAUUUCUUAUUCCUUAUGAACUUUUUUUAAAUGUCGCCAUUUUAAACACUCCUGAAAUUUUUAUAAACAUUGUUUGCCCUCUUUGAAUUUUCAAUAGUUUAGAAGGCAGAAUGUUCAAGGUGUUCAUUACACCCAGAAUGUACAGUGACUCCAAAGCCAAGUGACAGGCCAAGGAUGGACUGAAGAGAAUGCAAUCAUCCAGAGGGUGAAGGUGACCUCCCUCAGGCAGGAGUCCUGGUGGAGGGAGAAAAAAAACCUUAAUUUUUUUUUCAAAGAAUGGGCUCAAAAGCUGCUAGAAUAGGUACCUAAAAAAUUCAGAGGUCAGCUUAUAUAGGACAUACCCCUGAUGGACGGAUUUUGAUCAUUCGACCAUCAUUAACUGAGCACCAGUAUGUUCCAGGCUCUGAUCUACAAGGCAAAGUAGUGACAAGAAAAACACAGAUAGCUUCAUGGAACUUAGAUUCCAGACUAGUGCAGCAUGUCACUGUGAACAGGUGGGUUCACUACAGUGAGUGCUGACUUCUGAUUCACCCCAUCCUGGACACCCCAUUGGUCUCAGCUUAAUCCACAGGAACAAUUCCCCUUCCGGUUAGAACUGAAAGGCCACUCCCUUUGUCCUUAGGAUUCUGGAAUAAAGUUUACUUUGGAACUCUUCCACAGGCUCUUUGGAACUUGGAUGCCUUAAUGUUAUUUUAACCAAUUUUCAUUCCAUGUGUAACUUCCCCACAAAUAUGAUGUCACUUCACUAAUUAAAAUGUCUCUCUAAUUUAUGAUGUAAUUUUCAACUGUUAAUUGCAAUCAUAUAGGUUUUAAUGAUACAAAUUAAAUAUCAAGACUCAAGCUUAUUGAGUUCUUAAUUGUAAGGUGUUAUUAAAAUAAGUACCUUUAGGGUGAAAAGAGAUUAAUCACUGCUGAAAAUGUAGCAGCAGAUUUUGUGGCUGUGGAGGCAGUUUUAAAAUUCGAUUUGGAAUUGAGUAGAGGAAGAUAGGUAGGGC